ACGGAAGGCAGCAGUGAGGAAUAUUGGUCAAUGGGCGGAAGCCUGAACCAGCCAAGUCGCGUGAAGGAUGAAGGUAUUAUGUAUUGUAAACUUCUUUAGCAGCAGAGUAAUAAGGGGGUCGUGACCCCCGAUGCGAGUAUGCUGAAAAUAAGGAUCGGCUAACUCCGUGCCAGCAGCCGCGGUAAUACGGAGGAUCCGAGCGUUAUCCGGAUUUAUUGGGUUUAAAGGGUGCGCAGGCGGUUUUUUAAGUCAGUGGUUAAAUCGUGAGGCUCAACCUCAUCACGCCAUUGAUACUGGAAGACUUGAUUGCGGUUGAGGUUGGCGGAAUUCGUCGUGUAGCGGUGAAAUGCAUAGAUAUGACGAAGAACACCGAUUGCGUAGGCAGCUGACCAAGCCGUAAAUGACGCUCAUGCACGAAAGUGCGGGGAUCGAACAGGAUUAGAUACCCUGGUA
rnacentral:rRNA from 1 species